CAAAAGUCCAUUUUCGAAAUUUUGUGUGGCGCAGAGCAAAUGGCGGCGGCAGAACUUUGUUGAAAGAACAAGAUCUUGACAAAACCAAGACUGGCUGCAAAAAAUUGAGAAAAGGAUAGUCAGUUUUAAAAGGAGAGAUCACAAACUAAAAUCCCUGGACUGCUGGCAGACGCUUUUUUCCAGUUAACUGCCAAAACGAGGCAUUAGACAACAUAGCUUCCGGUUUAUUCAUAUUCUUUGUUACGGCUCAGCGAGACUAACCGCGGAUCACUUCACAAGAGGCCAAGA